rnacentral:rRNA from 1 species
GACGAACGCUGGCGGCGUGCCUAAUACAUGCAAGUAGGACGCACAGCCUAUACCGUAGCUUGCUACACCAUAGGCUGUGAGUUGCGAACGGGUGAGUAACGCGUAGGUAACCUGCCUAUUAGAGGGGGAUAACUAUUGGAAACGAUAGCUAAUACCGCAUAACAGUAUGUAACACAUGUUAGAUGCUUGAAAGAUGCAAUUGCAUCGCUAGUAGAUGGACCUGCGUUGUAUUAGCUAGUAGGUAGGGUAAAGGCCUACCUAGGCAACGAUACAUAGCCGACCUGAGAGGGUGAUCGGCCACACUGGGACUGAGACACGGCCCAGACUCCUACGGGAGGCAGCAGUAGGGAAUCUUCGGCAAUGGGGGGAACCCUGACCGAGCAACGCCGCGUGAGUGAAGAAGGUUUUCGGAUCGUAAAGCUCUGUUGUUAAGGAAGAACGAGUGUGAGAAUGGAAAGUUCAUACUGUGACG